UCUAUGCACAAGCCGAUUAAUGGUGAAGCCGCGAAUGGCUCAUUACAACAGCCACUGUUUACUUGAUCUUGAUUAUCCUACUUGGAUAACUGUGGUAAUUCUAGAGCUAAUACACGCAAACAAGCUCCGACCUUACGGGACGAGCGCAUUUAUUAGACCAAAACCAAUCGGGCUUCGGCCUGAGACGUUGGUGACUCUGAAUAACUGAGCUGAUCGCAUGGUCUUUGUACCGGCGACGCAUCUUUCAAGUGUCUGCCUUAUCAACUUUCGAUGGUAGUUUAUGUGCCUACCAUGGUUGUUACGGGUAACGGAGAAUAAGGGUUCGACUCCGGAGAGGGAGCCUGAGAAACGGCUACCACAUCCAAGGAAGGCAGCAGGCGCGCAAAUUACCCACUCUCGGCACGAGGAGGUAGUGACGAAAAAUAACGAGGCGGUUCUCUAUGAGGCCCGCUAUCGGAAUGGGUACAAUUUAAACCCUUUAACGAGGACCUAUGAGAGGGCAAGUCUGGUGCCAG
rnacentral:rRNA from 1 species